rnacentral:rRNA from 1 species
CUACGGGUGGCUCCAGUGGGGAAUAUUGCACAAUGGAGGAAACUCUGAUGCAGCAACGCCGCGUGGAGGAUGACACAUUUCGGUGCGUAAACUCCUUUUAUAUGAGAAGAUAAUGACGGUAUCAUAUGAAUAAGCACCGGCUAACUCCGUGCCAGCAGCCGCGGUAAUACGGGGGGUGCAAGCGUUACUCGGAAUCACUGGGCGUAAAGAGCAUGUAGGCGGAUAGAAAAGUUGGAAGUGAAAUCCUGUGGCUUAACCAUAGAACUGCUUCCAAAACUCUCUAUCUAGAAUAUGGGAGAGGUAGAUGGAAUUUCUGGUGUAGGGGUAAAAUCCGUAGAGAUCAGAAGGAAUACCGAUUGCGAAGGCGAUCUACUGGAACAUUAUUGACGCUGAGAUGCGAAAGCGUGGGGAGCAAACAGGAUUAGAUACCCCUGUAGUC